rnacentral:rRNA from 1 species
UGGGGAAUCUUGGACAAUGGGCGCAAGCCUGAUCCAGCAAUGCCGCGUGCGUGAAGAAGGCCUUCGGGUUGUAAAGCGCUUUUGUUCGGGAGGAAAUCCUGGCGGCUAAUAUCCACCGGGGAUGACAGUACCGGAAGAAUAAGGACCGGCUAACUACGUG